rnacentral:rRNA from 1 species
UACGUAGGGGGCAAGCGUUGUCCGGAAUCAUUGGGCGUAAAGCGCGCGUAGGCGGCCCGGUAAGUCCGCUGUAAAAGUCCAGGGCUCAACCCUGGAAAGCCGGUGGAUACUGUCGGGCUAGAGUGCGGUAGGGGCAGAGGGAAUUCCCAGUGUAGCAGUGAAAUGCGUAGAUAUCAGGAGGAACACCGAUGGCGAAGGCAGGUCUCUGGGCUGACACUGACGCUCAUGCACGAAAGCGUGGGGAGCAAACAGGAUUACGAAACCC